rnacentral:snRNA from 12 species
AUCGCUUCUAGGCCUUUUUGCUAAAAUCAAGUGUAGUAUCUGUUCUUAUUUCUUAUUACAGAUUUUAGCCUAUUUAAAAUCUUU